CCUACGGGUGGCAGCAGUGAGGAAUAUUGGUCAAUGGGCGAGAGCCUGAACCAGCCAAGCCGCGUGAAGGAUGAAGGCCCUACGGGUUGUAAACUUCUUUUAUAUGGGAAUAAAAGGUGCCACGUGUGGCAUGUUGAAGGUACCCUAAGAAUAAGCAUCGGCUAACUCCGUGCCAGCAGCCGCGGUAAUACGGAGGAUUCGAGCGUUAUCCGGAGUUAAUGGGGUUAAAGGGGGAGUAGGUGGAGUGUUAAGGCAGUUGUGAAAGUCUGGGGGUUAACCGCAGGAGAGCAGUUGAAACUGGCAGGCUUGAGUACAGGAGAGGUGGGCGGAAUUCGUGGUGUAGCGGUGAAAUGCUUAGAUAUCACGAAGAACUCCGAUUGCGAAGGCAGCUUACUGGACUGAAACUGACGCUGAGGCACGAAAGCGUGGGUAUCGAACAGGAUUAGAUACCCUAGUAGUC
rnacentral:rRNA from 1 species